rnacentral:rRNA from 1 species
CUGGGUGAGUAACACGUGGGCAACCUACCUUAUAGUUUCGGGAUAACUCCGGGAAACCGGGGCUAAUACCGAAUAAUCUAUUACUUCAUGGUGAAAUACUGAAAGACGGUUNUACGGCUAGUACGCUAUAAGAUGGGCCCUGCGUGCGCAUUAAGGCUAGUUGUGUUGAGUGUAACGNGUCUACACCAAUNGCGACGAUGCGUAGCCGAACCUGAGAGUGGUGAUCGGCACACCUGGUGACUUGAUGACA